AUUGCUUCUCAGUCUUGGCUAAGAUCAAGUGUAGUAUUUCUUCUUAUCAGUUUGAUAUCUGAUAUGCCCUCUAUCCAAUGACAAUUUAUUAAAUGGAUUUUGGGAGCAGGGAGUUGGAAUAGGAGCUUGUUCCAUCCACCCUGCACGUCGGCCUGGUAUGGCCAUACUUCCAGGGACGGCGCCCUCCAC
rnacentral:snRNA from 1 species